GUGAUGGCUUAGAGUGAUAACCCCGCUACUGCUCACAACAUAUGCACCUUCCUCUCAUUGUUACCAGGGGACCUGGACCCAUCAAGCUCAAAUUAGUUUGUAAGAAGAAGAACUCUCGCUUCCUAACUGGUCUGCAGAUGCUGCCAUUGCUGGGGAAAUGUCAUCAUUAGAGAAUAGAAGACUAUUAUUUCAAAGAGUGCUUAAGGGUGACUGAAUCAGGUCUGGAACAUUAUUGAAAUGUACAUCUAAGACUCUGCUAUCAUAACUGUACUAGAAAAUUUGGUCUUAGAAGAAGCUGCUGACCUAUCUCUUCAAAGGAAGCAAAGUC